GCGGAGGAAAAGAAAAUAACAAUGAUUCCUCUAGUAACUGCGAGUGAAGAGGGAAAAGCUCAAAUUUUAAAUCUGUUAGGUUUGCCUAACCGAGUUGUAAUUUGAAGAAGCGUUUUCUGCGAUUUUGGUUAGUCCAAAUCCUUUGGAAUAAGGUAUCAUGGAGGGUGAGAAUCCCGUUCGGUUAACCAAAGCGCUUUACGAUACGCUUUCAAAGAGUCAAGUUGUUUGGGAUUGCAGCUUAAAAUGGGAGGUAAAUUUCUCCUAAGGCUAAAUAUUGGCGAGAGACCGAUAGCGAACAAGUACCGUGAGGGAAAGAUGAAAAGAACUUUGAAAAGAGAGUUAAACAGUACGUGAAAUUGUUGAAAGGGAAACGAUUAAAGUCAGUCGUACCUACGAGUAAUCAACCUACUCGAGUGCGAUUUUGUGGGUAUGUUAGAGUUUAAACCUUCAUGCUUACAAAUUGGUGCUCUUUGGGCGUACUUUCUCGUAUGGUAGGUUAACAUCAAUUUCGAUCGUUAUAAAAUGACUGGAGGAAUGUAGCUUCGACCUCAGUUGAAGUGUUAUAGCCUUUGGUAGAUGUAAUGAUUGGGAUUGAGGAUUGCAACGGAUACCCUCUGGGCUAUUCGUCUGAUCUCUGGAAGUUACCUUGGUGUCGAAAGCGUGCUUACGGCAUUAAGGUUGACGGCCAAUAGGUUAGAACGUGAUUAAAUUCGUNAAGGAUGUUGACGUAAUGGCUUUAAACGACCCGUCUUGA
rnacentral:rRNA from 1 species